CUGAUUUGCAGAAGUAAUAUUGCUCGAAAAUGUAGAGCUGACUCUUGAAGCCUUUGACUACAUGCAGCUGCCAUUCACGCUGAAAGCGCAUUCUAACACGGCAUGAUACACCAGCAACUGAAUGUUGUCAACAUCAGCGGCAACGACGACAACUCCACAUCGAGAAACAACAACUGUGGGCCAGGGAGCACAAUCCCGUGGUGCGGUGACUUGCCCACGUUUGCCAUGCUGCCUUGAUGCAUGGCACAUCAACAAGAAGAGCACCAGUUUGGAAGGCUAAUUCCGAAGGAAUUGAGAUGUGCAGAGGGAGAUGAAGAAUGUGGAGAAAGACAUCAGGGUGGCUACCAAGCGCAAUGACAUGUUAUCUGCAAAGGUACGGUCAGUCUGAUCUU